rnacentral:rRNA from 1 species
UGCGCAGGCGGACCUAUUAGUCAGUGGUGAAAUCCCGGGGCUCAACUCCGGAACUGCCAUUGAUACUGUAGGUCUUGAGUUUGGUUGAAGUGGGCGGAAUGUAGCAUGUAGCGGUGAAAUGCAUAGAUAUGCUACAGAACACCGAUCGCGAAGGCAGCUCACUAAACCAAAACUGACGCUCAGGCACGAAAGCGUGGGUAGCGAACAGGAUUAGAUACCCUGGUAGUC